GGGUUUGUGGCUCAGUGGUAGAGCGCUUGCCUAGCAUGUGUGAGGCACUGGGUUCGAACCCCAACACCA
rnacentral:tRNA from 1 species